GACGAACGCUGGCGGCGUGCUUAACACAUGCAAGUCGAACGGAAAGGCCCUGCUUUUGUGGGGUGCUCGAGUGGCGAACGGGUGAGUAACACGUGAGUAACCUGCCCUUGACUUUGGGAUAACUUCAGGAAACUGGGGCUAAUACCGGAUAGGGGCUCCUGCUGCAUGGUGGGGGUUGGAAAGUUUCGGCGGUUGGGGAUGGACUCGCGGCUUAUCAGCUUGUUGGUGGGGUAGUGGCUUACCAAGGCCUUGACGGGUAGCCGGCCUGAGAGGGUGACCGGCCACAUUGGGACUGAGAUACGGCCCAGACUCCUACGGGAGGCAGCAGUGGGGAAUAUUGCACAAUGGGCGGAAGCCUGAUGCAGCAACGCCGCGUGCGGGAUGACGGCCUUCGGGUUGUAAACCGCUUUCGCCUGUGACGAAGCGUGAGUGACGGUAAUGGGUAAAGAAGCACCGGCUAACUACGUG
rnacentral:rRNA from 1 species